UACGUAGGAUGCAAGCGUUGUCCGGAAUUAUUGGGCGUAAAGAGCGCGUAGGCGGCUCGAUAAGUCAGAUGUAAAAUAUCCCGGCUUAACCGGGAGGGGCCAUUUGAAACUGUCGGACUAGAGUGGAGCAGAGGAUAGUGGAAUUCCCGGUGUAGUGGUGAAAUGCGUAGAUAUCGGGAGGAACACCAGUGGCGAAGGCGACUACCUGGCCUGUUCUUGACGCUGAGGCGCGAAAGCUAGGGGAGCAAACGGG
rnacentral:rRNA from 1 species